rnacentral:lncRNA from 1 species
CUCUUCCUGUCUCUCUCGUUCUCUCUCUCCUCUCUGUCUCUCGCUCUCUCACUCUUUCCGUCUCUCUCAGCUGUUCUAUCCCGCCAUAUCAUCCUCCUGUAAUUUUGUCGGCUAGAAGCUGACUAAGCCUCCCCAACCCAUCAGGUUGUUAUUUUGUGUUCGUGAGCGUCGAGUCUACAGGCUAGGAUGAUAAACGAUCAUUCUUCUCUACCUUUCUUUCAUUCUCUUUUCAUUUUCUCCUUCAUUCAUCUCUCUCUACACCCCUCUCCCUCUUUUCCCCUCCACAGCCUCUCUCCCUCUCUCCAUUACUCUCUCCCCCUCUCUAACUCCUAUUUCACUCCUCUCUCCUUCACUGCUCUACAACUUCUCUCCCCCAUCCCUCCCUCCUCCACCCCCCUACCUCCAUACCUCUCUCCAAUCCUAGGGUGGUGAUAAAAGGGUGCAGGUGUCAGGGCAGUGGUGUGUAAAUCCUAGGGUGAGGGUAAAAGGGUGCAGGUGUCAGGGCAGUGGUGUGUAAAUCCUAGGGUGAUGGUAAAGGGGUGCAGGUGUCAGGGCAGUGGUGUGUAAAUCCUAGGGUGAUGGUAAAAGGGUGCAGGUGUCAGGGCAGUGGUGUGUAAAUCCUAGGGUGAUGGAGUGUGUAUGUGUUUCAAGUUUCAAGUUUUAAUGUCGCAUUCACAAGUACAGUGAAAUGCCUUUCUUGCAAACUCAAAACCCGACAAUGCCAACCAUCAAUGUAAUACUAGAAACAAACACACGAGGACUAAGAAGAACACAACAAGUAGGAAAGUAAGAAUACCAUAUACAGGGUCAGUUCCAAUACAACAUUUACAAUGUGCAGGGACACUGGAGUGAUAAAGGUCGAUAUGUAUAGGGGGAAGGUGACUAGACAACAGGAUAAAAGAUAAACAGUGUAGUAACAGCUUGUAUGUGAGUGGGUGUGUGUGUGUGGAGUCCGUAUAAAUGUGCAGUACCAGUCAAAAGUUUGGACACACCUACUCAUUCAAGGGUUUUUAUUUAUUUUUACUAUUUUCUACAUUGUAGAAUAAUAGUGAAGGCAUCAAAACUAUGAAAUAACACAUAUGGAAUCAUGUAGUAACCAAAAACAUGUUAAACAAAUCCAAAUAUAUUUUAUAUUUGAGAUUAUUCGAAGUAGCCACCCUUUGCCUUGAUGACAGCUUUGCACACUCUUGGCAUUCUUUCAACCAGCUUCACCUUUAAUGCUUUUCCGACAGUUUUGAAGGAGUUACCACAUAUGCUGAGCACUUGUUGGCUGCUUUUCCUUCACUCCGCGGUCCAACUCAUCCCAAACCAUCUCAAUUGGGUUGAGUUUGGGUGAUUGUGGAGGCCAGGUUAUCUGAUUCAGCACUCCAUCACUCUCCUUUUUGGUCAAAUAGCCCUAACACAGCCUGGAGGUGUUUUGGGUCAUUGUCCUGUUGAAUAACAACGAUAAGCGCAAAUCAGAUGGGAUGGCAUAUUGCUGCAGGAUGCUGUGGUAGCCAUGCUGGUUAAGUGUGCCUUGAAUUCUAAAUGAAUCACAGACAGUGUCACCAGCAAAGCACCCCCACACCAUCACACCUCCACCUCCUCCUCCAUGCUUCAGGCCUGAUUCACACAGUCUCCUCUGAACAGUUGAUGUUGAGAUGUGUCUGUUACAUGAACUCUGUGAAGCAUUUACUUGGGCUGCAAUCUGAGAUGCAGUUAACUCUAAUAAACUUAUCCUCUGCAGCAGACGUAACUAUGGGUCUUCCUUUCCUGUGGCGGUCCUCAUGAGAGCCAGUUUCAUCAUCCAGUUUCAUCAUAGCGCUUUAUGGUUUUUGCGAUUGCACUUGAAGAAACGUUUCAAAGUUUUUGAAAUGUUCCAGAUUUACUGACCUUCAUGUCUUAAAGUAAUGAUGGAAUGUUGUUUCUCUUUGAUUACUUGAGCUGUUUUUGCCAUGAUAUGGACUUGGUCAUUUACCAAAUAGGGCUAUCUUCUGUACACCACCCCUACCUUGUCACAACACAACUGAUUGACUCAAUCACAUUAAUUAAU